rnacentral:rRNA from 1 species
UACGAAGGGGGCUAGCGUUGCUCGGAUUGACUGGGCGUAAAGGGCGCGUAGGCGGUUUGUACAGUCAGACGUGAAAUUCCUGGGCUCAACCUGGGGGCUGCGUUUGAUACGUGCGAGCUUGAGUUCGGAAGAGGGUCGUGGAAUUCCCAGUGUAGAGGUGAAAUUCGUAGAUAUUGGGAAGAACACCGAUGGCGAAGGCAGCCAUCUGGACCGACACUGACGCUGAGGCGCGAAAGCGUGGGGAGCAAACAGG